GAUAUCAACUGAAAAAGUCAUCAACAACAAAGUUGAAUAACUCAUCAAGGUCUAAAACUUUUAUUUUUGCCAUUUCUCCAUCCCCCCCAACGUUAUUAAUAUUGUUCACAAAGUUUACAUAUAUGCGGUCUACGCAAGCCCAACCGCGCCGAGAUAUGUCAAUUUUGUGAACAAUGUUACUAUCACUUUGUCGUAUGAAGAAAUGACCAAAAUAAAAGUUUUAGAUCUUGAUGAGUUAUUCAACUUUGUGUUGAUGACUUUUUCAGUGACAUC
rnacentral:pre_miRNA from 1 species